GACGAACGCUGGCGGCGUGCUUAACACAUGCAAGUCGAACGGGCCCGCUCUCUUUUUUGGGGGUGGGUUGAGUGGCGAACGGGUGAGUAUCACGUGAGUAACCUGCCCCCUGCUCCUGGAUAACUGCUUGAAAGGGCGGCUAAUACGGGGUGUGCCGGCUGGUCCGCAUGGGCCUGGUCGGGAUAGUUUCAUCUUCGGGUGUUUCGGUGGGGGAUGGGCUCGCGGCCUAUCAGCUUGUUGGUGGGGUGAUGGCCCACCAAGGCGGUGACGGGUAGCCGGCGUGAGAGGGUGGGCGGCCACACUGGGACUGAGACACGGCCCAGACUCCUGCGGGAGGCAGCGGUGGGGGGUAUUGCACAAUGGGCGGAAGCCUGAUGCAGCGACGGCGCGUGAGGGAUGGAGGCCUUCGGGUUGUGAACCUCUUUCUCCGGUGGUGAAGGCCCUGUCCGUUGCGGCGGGGUUGACGGUAGCCGGGGAUGAAGCGCCGGCUAACUACGUG
rnacentral:rRNA from 1 species